rnacentral:rRNA from 1 species
CGGAACCGUUUAUGCAGCAGAUUGGGAUGGUUGAGUAUCUCGCCUCUCCGUUCUGCCUGUAUUCUACCCUUGUUUGUCAUAUACUAUUAUUUCCUCGGCAGGCUUGCCUGCCGAGUGAAACCAUUUAUAACCUUUUUAAUUUUCAAUCAGCGUCUGAAAAAAUUAAUAAUUACAACUUUCAACAACGGAUCUCUUGGUUCUGGCAUCGAUGAAGAACGCAGCGAAAUGCGAUAAGUAGUGUGAAUUGCAGAAUUCAGUGAAUCAUCGAAUCUUUGAACGCACAUUGCGCCCCUUGGUAUUCCAUGGGGCAUGCCUGUUCGAGCGUCAUUUGUACCUUCAAGCUUUGCUUGGUGUUGGGUGUUUGUCCCGAGGGACUCGCCUUAAAGUAAUUGGCAGCCAGUGUUUGGUUUUGAAGCGCAGCACAAGUCGCGAUUCAAGGCUACACGCCCGCUUCCACAAGCCUUUUUUCACUUUUGACCUCGGAUCAGGUAGGGAUACCCGCUGAACUUAAGCAUAUCAAUAAGCGGAGGAAAUCAUUACCUUUCAAUGCAGCAGAAUUGGGAUGGUUGAGUAUCUCGCCUCUCCGUUCUGCCUGUAUUCUACCCUUGUUUGUCAUAUACUAUUAUUUCCUCGGCAGGCUUGCC